ACCGCAUUAGCUCAGAUGCAUAGAGCAUAGGUCUUCUAAACCUAGUGUCAUUGGUUGGAAUCCAAUAUGCGGUG
rnacentral:tRNA from 1 species